rnacentral:tRNA from 1 species
GCGCCGGCGAGCCGAGCGGGCCGGGUGGCGGGCCCGCUGGUGGCUGGCCCUGCCCGGAUCCGUGGUCUGUCUCGGCCUGAUCGUCGCGGGCGCCGGGGCG